rnacentral:lncRNA from 1 species
CAUGGAGACAUAACUGAGAAAGGCAUCAACUUUAACUUCACAAAUAGCUUGAAAAACGAAAACUGAUCCUUAACUUCACCAAAGUACCACAAUCCUACCAGCUGUGUCAAAGCAUCCCUAACUGCCCAUCUCAUCAGAAUGAACCCGGUAAGUUUCUUGAGCCCCAAUCUAGAACCAUCCCAAACAAUGUCAGCAAAUGAAUUGAACCUUUUUAACAAAUCAUUCACCACAGCAACGAACACAAUUCCCA